rnacentral:misc_RNA from 1 species
AAGUCAGGUUUUUCAGAUCUUCUUUUUCUUCUUCUUCUUUCUCUUUUUUUCCAGUUUGCAUUCUGUGAUUGCAUGGGCGUGGAUGGCCUUCAUGAGGUGCGUUCCCCGGGCCUAGGUGCACUGGGGUGCGCCUCCUUGAGGUCGUGUGGCUUUGGGUUCCUCAGGCACUAUGGGCUAUGCCUCAGGGGCGCCUUUGAUAACAGUGAUGUUUUAUACUUUCUCCUUCUGGUUACAGGUUUUAUUGAAUAUCCAUAAAACAAAGAACAACCCCAGUUAUUUUGAUGAUGGAAUUGUGGGGCUUUGUCAUGAAAAGUUCCUGAGGCUUACAUCAUAUGAUGUUUAUGAAAAAAGUUUCAAGGAUAUGUACAUGUACUUAUUCUGUAUGUUUUAUCAUUUCAACUUCUGUUAUUCUCCCUCUCCCACCUUUAUUCCAAGAAAUUAGAGCUGACAGCUGCUCUGCUUACUAGCCCACGUUCCAGAAUUCAAGACUGUUUAGCUACCAGAGAGUUAGCAAAGAUUUCUAGAUCUAGAAUUAAUUCUCUUAACAGAAAAUUAGAUGACAUGUGAAGAGAAAGUAGGUCUGCCUUAAUCACUUUCAGUUGUGAAGUUACAAAGGAGAUCUCCUUGGGAAACAAUACUCGGUUGUUUAGAUUGUAAUCAGCGUUAUCCUCAUUAACUUACAAUUUCUGUUAUUCUUAUGAACUUAUGUAAUCUUCUUUUAUUCAGGUUGAGAUCGUAAUGGGACUCGAGGAGGAAUUUGGAAUCAGCGUGGAAGAAGAAACAGCCCAGAGUAUU